AAAAAGAACCUGAAACCGUGUACGUACAAGCAGUGGGAGCACCUUCGGGUGUGACUGCGUACCUUUUGUAUAAUGGGUCAGCGACUUAUAUUCUGUAGCAAGGUUAACCGUAUAGGGGAGCCGCAGGGAAACCGAGUCUUAACUGGGCGUUAAGUUGCAGGGUAUAGACCCGAAACCCGGUGAUCUAGCCAUGGGCAGGUUGAAGGUUGGGUAACACUAACUGGAGGACCGAACCGACUAAUGUUGAAAAAUUAGCGGAUGACUUGUGGCUGGGGGUGAAAGGCCAAUCAAACCGGGAGAUAGCUGGUUCUCCCCGAAAGCUAUUUAGGUAGCGCCUCGUGAACUCAUCUUCGGGGGUAGAGCACUGUUUCGGCUAGGGGGUCAUCCCGACUUACCAACCCGAUGCAAACUACGAAUACCGAAGAAUGUUAUCACGGGAGACACACGGCGGGUGCUAACGUCCGUCGUGAAGAGGGAAACAACCCAGACCGCCAGCUAAGGUCCCAAAGUCAUGGUUAAGUGGGAAACGAUGUGGGAAGGCACAGACAGCCAGGAUGUUGGCUUAGAAGCAGCCAUCAUUUAAAGAAAGCGUAAUAGCUCACUGGUCGAGUCGGCCUGCGCGGAAGAUGUAACGGGGCUAAACCAUGCACCGAAGCUGCGGCAGCGACACUAUGUGUUGUUGGGUAGGGGAGCGUUCUGUAAGCCUGCGAAGGUGACCUGUGAGGGUUGCUGGAGGUAUCAGAAGUGCGAAUGCUGACAUAAGUAACGAUAAAGCGGGUGAAAAGCCCGCUCGCCGGAAGACCAAGGGUUCCUGUCCAACGUUAAUCGGGGCAGGGUGAGUCGACCCCUAAGGCGAGGCCGAAAGGCGUAGUCGAUGGGAAACAGGUUAAUAUUCCUGUACUUGGUGUUACUGCGAAGGGGGGACGGAGAAGGCUAUGUUAGCCGGGCGACGGUUGUCCCGGUUUAAGCAUGUAGGCUGGUUGUCCAGGCAAAUCCGGAUAAUCAAGGCUGAGGUGUGAUGACGAGGCACUACGGUGCUGAAGUAACAAAUGCCCUGCUUCCAGGAAAAGCCUCUAAGCAUCAGGUAACAUUAAAUCGUACCCCAAACCGACACAGGUGGUCAGGUAGAGAAUACCAAGGCGCUUGAGAGAACUCGGGUGAAGGAACUAGGCAAAAUGGUGCCGUAACUUCGGGAGAAGGCACGCUGGUGUGUAGGUGAAGUCCCUGCGGAUGGAGCUGAGACCAGUCGAAGAUACCAGCUGGCUGCAACUGUUUAUUAAAAACACAGCACUGUGCAAACACGAAAGUGGACGUAUACGGUGUGACGCCUGCCCGGUGCCGGAAGGUUAAUUGAUGGGGUUAUCCGUAAGGAGAAGCUCUUGAUCGAAGCCCCGGUAAACGGCGGCCGUAACUAUAACGGUCCUAAGGUAGCGAAAUUCCUUGUCGGGUAAGUUCCGACCUGCACGAAUGGCGUAAUGAUGGCCAGGCUGUCUCCACCCGAGACUCAGUGAAAUUGAACUCGCUGUGAAGAUGCAGUGUACCCGCGGCAAGACGGAAAGACCCCGUGAACCUUUACUAUAGCUUGACACUGAACAUUGAGCCUUGAUGUGUAGGAUAGGUGGGAGGCUUUGAAGCGUGGACGCCAGUCUGCGUGGAGCCAACCUUGAAAUACCACCCUUUAAUGUUUGAUGUUCUAACGUUGGCCCCUGACCGGGGUUGCGGACAGUGUCUGGUGGGUAGUUUGACUGGGGCGGUCUCCUCCCAAAGCGUAACGGAGGAGCACGAAGGUUAGCUAAUCCUGGUCGGACAUCAGGAGGUUAGUGCAAUGGCAUAAGCUAGCUUGACUGCGAGCGUGACGGCGCGAGCAGGUGCGAAAGCAGGUCAUAGUGAUCCGGUGGUUCUGAAUGGAAGGGCCAUCGCUCAACGGAUAAAAGGUACUCCGGGGAUAACAGGCUGAUACCGCCCAAGAGUUCAUAUCGACGGCGGUGUUUGGCACCUCGAUGUCGGCUCAUCACAUCCUGGGGCUGAAGUAGGUCCCAAGGGUAUGGCUGUUCGCCAUUUAAAGUGGUACGCGAGCUGGGUUUAGAACGUCGUGAGACAGUUCGGUCCCUAUCUGCCGUGGGCGCUGGAGAAUUGAGGGGGGCUGCUCCUAGUACGAGAGGACCGGAGUGGACGCAUCACUGGUGUUCGGGUUGUCAUGCCAAUGGCA
rnacentral:rRNA from 1 species